GAGGCAUAAAUUGGAAGACCAAAGACCAGUCCUCAUUUUGAAUACAAAUUUUUUAAGACAGACUCAGAGACUUAAGAAAAAAUUCCUUCACCGUGUGAGCCCCGAGCUGAUAAAAAGCACGGGGAGUUUGAACAAGGCUGGCUUCUGAUCCAAGGUAGCAGCUGGCAGGGGCCUGUGAGGUCUGCCUGUUGGAAAAUAACAUCAUAAGAAAUAGUAACAGAAUAGGUAACAGGGAAAUAGGUAACAUCACAACAAACAAUAGACGGAGGAACAAUGCAGCAAAUAACAUCCUAACAUUAACAGAAUAAGGAACAAUGAGGCAGGAACCUGGUAGCAAAUAAUUACAGAGUAAGUAACAAUGAAAUGAACAAAAGGCGAAAGGUCAGUAGACGCUACAUUUUGACAUUUGGGGGGAGGCAUUUCUGAGGAGAGUCUGUGACUGUCCAGGGCACAGAUGGUGUCCUGCGUCUCGCCCAAGCCUUGGAAACGUCCAGCCCUCAGAGGACGCUGCUGCCGUUGUCCUUCUGGCGCCCCGGUGCCGAGCGUGGUGCCGCGUCCUUAGAGGCUGGCAGGGACGACGGGCGGUCUGCUCAGCGGUGGAAGUGUCUCCACGCGCUGUUCCUCCGGUCCCGGGGAAUUCAUCCAUUUGCCUGGGCAAAUUCAGAAUCCAACCUUCUCCAGGAUCUCUGCAGCUUCGUGACCGUGUAGUUCCCUCUUCACAGCUCCCAGAAUCCAGAUGUUCCUAUAGCCAACUUGAAUUCCGGUGAGUUUCUAUGAAAUAUGUGAAGUUCAGUUUGCACAGAAGAUGCCUCUUUUUCCAGCUUGGAAGUUACCCGUGUGUCUCAGGUGGGUCCGUGUCCUAGUUAACAGCAGUACUUGACGCGAGCGUUGAAAGAUUAGAGACCCUGAUCACACUGAAAUAUUUCAUUGUGAAAAAUUUCCAACACAGGCAAGCAGGGGAAUAAAGGGUCCAGUGAUCGCUGGUAGGUCCA
ensembl:lncRNA